GGAUUUUGCUGUUUAACUACCACUGAAGAAGUAGUGCUAGUGAAACCUUAUUGCAUUUAUUUUUUAGUGCACUAUGCCCAACCCUUAUACAGUGUUACCAGAUGAAAGUAGUUAAAAAGUUACAAUAUUAGAAAUAGUUGAUAAGUGGAUCUAUUACAAUUUGGAGAGAUGCUAAUCGCUACAUAUGUAUCUAUACUGCGUACACAUAUAUCACAUAAGUUUUUAUAAUCAAAUUUAAGGAAAACUUUCGAUUAAGCAAGGAUGCAUUUAUGUAUGUACAUAUGUAUUAUACAGCAUAAAAGAAAAAUUUUCGAUUCGCUUAUCGUCAUCAAUAUCGCCGAUGUUAAAAUUGUGUUCCCUCCUUAAAUUUUGGCUCUUGGAGCUAUCAACAACAGUGGAUUUUUAAACAGGAAUUGUGCAGCCCACUGUCUCCUUGUUUUAAAGGAAAUGCUCUCAAUUUUGGAAUCCACUCUUUGCAAAUCAAAACGGACAUAAUGGAAGAAGAAAAACAAAUAACAAGAAGACAAUUUUUCACUUGAUCGCGAAUUCCAAAUGUGGUUUGCAAAUGUUUCGAUUAUUGCUCCGUGCGAAAGCAAAUUUCUGUAUCCAAAUAGAAAAGGAGUUUACAGCAUAAAUGCGGUGAUUGCGUGCGAUCAGGAUAUGGUGAUAACCUAUAUAAUAAGGAGCUAGCCACGACUCAUUUGUGUGGAAUAAUAGUUUAGAAAAAACAUAUUUGGAGCAAACAUGCCAAAGAGGCGAUCACAAUUCGGUUUACUUAGGUGAUUCUGGUUGUCCACUGCAAGAGUUUCUAUGGGUGCUUUACCAGAAAUAGCGGAAUCAAAUUUAAAGAAAAACGUGCAAAGGCAAGGAACGUAGUUGAAAGGACAAUUGGAACGAUAAAAUGCCAUAUUCGUUGUAUACUAGGUCCGCGUAAACUACCAUAUCCUCAUAGUAAAGCAACUGUAUGUUGUGCUUUACACAAUACUUGUAAAAAUUAUAAUGUAGAUAAUCCUAAACAAGAAACUUUUCUUGAUAUAGUUGUAGCACUGGAAGCAGUUGAAGGAAACUUCAAAGAAACAGCUACAGAAUGUCGUCGAAAACAAAUUGCGAAUGCAUUGUCAUAGCGUAGUUGCAUCAAUAAAAUAUAUGUACAUACAUACAUACAAUAAAAUAAUUGAAAUUAAUUUUGAAA